AUUGAACGCUGGCGGAAUGCUUUACACAUGCAAGUCGAACGGCAGCACGGGGGCAACCCUGGUGGCGAGUGGCGAACGGGUGAGUAAUACAUCGGAACGUGCCCAGUCGUGGGGGAUAACGUAGCGAAAGUUACGCUAAUACCGCAUACGAUCUACGGAUGAAAGCGGGGGACCGUAAGGCCUCGCGCGAUUGGAGCGGCCGAUGUCAGAUUAGGUAGGUGGUGAGGUAAAGGCUCACCAAGCCGACGAUCUGUAGCUGGUCUGAGAGGACGACCAGCCUCACUGGGACGGGGACAGGGCCCAGACUCCUACGGGAGGCAGCAGUGGGGAAUUUUGGACAAUGGGCGCAAGCCUGAUCCAGCCAUUCCGCGUGCAGGACGAAGGCCUUCGGGUUGUAAACUGCUUUUGUACGGAACGAAAAGGCUCUGGUUAAUACCUGGGGCUCAUGACGGUACCGUAAGAAUAAGCACCGGCUAACUACGUGCCAGCAGCCGCCGUAA
rnacentral:rRNA from 1 species